rnacentral:rRNA from 1 species
CGUGCAGGCGGUAGGCUAAGUUGGGUGUGAAAGCUCCUGGCUCAACUAGGAGAGGUCGCUCAAGACUGGCCAACUGGAGAGCAGUAGAGGAAGGUGGAAUUCCGGGUGUAGUGGUGAAAUGCGUAGAUAUCCGGAGGAACACCAGUGGCGAAAGCGGCCUUCUGGACUGCAUCUGACGCUCAGACGCGAAAGCUAGGGGAGCAAACGG